rnacentral:sRNA from 1 species
GAGACAGUCAACGGCCUACCUCCUCCCAGGCCAAUGACAAGUCCUGCGGCGCACCUCCUCCCGCGUCGCAUGAUCGAUCAGGCCUGCCGGACCUCCUCCCCCGGCGGGCCUUUUUC